CGGGGUAGUCAGUUGGUUAUUAUGUCUCCACUAAUGAGCAGAGAGGAGUAAAAUCUUCAAAGUAAGUUAUGUGGGUCAAGGUAUAGUGAUUAAUUGGAGUUCUAGUUCAUUUACUUUGAGAAAAUUAGAGUGUUUAAAGCAGCCUCUUGGGGCACUGAAUACAUUAGCAUGGGAUAAUAAAAUAGGAUCUUCACAAUAUAUUUUAUUGGUUUAAAUUGGAUAUGAAGAUAAUGAUUAAUAGGGACAGUUGGGGGUAUUCAUAUUGGGUGGUUAGCGGUGAAAUGCUCGGAUCCAUUCAAGAUGAACUAAAGCGAAAGCAUUUACCAAGGAUGUUUUCAUUAAUCAAGAACGAAAGUUAAGGGAUCGAAGACGAUUAGAUACCGUCGUAGUCUUAACUAUAAACUAUGCCGACCAGGGAUAUGAGUUGUUAGGAUUAUAUGAAAAUAUAAUCAAUUUCUUCUUAUGAACCUUGUGAGAAAUCAUAAGUUUUUGGGUUCUGGGGGGAGUAUGGUCGCAAGGCUGAAACUUAAAGGAAUUGACGG
rnacentral:rRNA from 1 species